AUUUGAUAGGAGCGGGGAGAAAUGGGGUCCCCGCUGUAGGGAGGCUGGGGGUACAGGUCGGCAAGCACCUGUUGACGUCACAAACCUCUGAAGGCUACACGCGCCGGUUGCCAUGGAGGCUGCGCUCCCCGCCCCGCCCUCUUCCCAGUCCUCGGCCCAGCGCUCACAGCCCUACUGUGAUCGGUGACCUGCCCGGCAGGCUGUAGGCGGCUGGCAGCGCAAUGCCAGGGGAGAGCUGCUGGAGGGGGCGGUGGGAUCCUGGUGCACCAUGAGCCUCGAGCCCGGCCCCGCUUCGGGCCGAUGAGCACUGCGCACUCCGCCCGCCACUCCGCUCCUGGCCUCGGAUGCGAAGGCAGCAGCGCCGGACAGGAAGCCCGAGGACGGCGCAGGGCCACCUCUCUACCAACACGCGCCAGGGAAGCAGCUCGUCAGCUGGUCUGCUCCGGGGCUCCUAAGGAGUCGGGCCCGGGGCUGCCCCCGCCACCUGGGUUGCUGCCGCCGCCGCCUUCGCCACCGCCUGGAUCCUCCAUCCCCCGCCAUGGCCGAGGAGCUCUCCGCGGCCACGUCCUACACCGAAGAUGAUUUCUACUGCCCCGUCUGUCAGGAGGUGCUCAAAACGCCCGUGCGGACCGCGGCCUGUCAGCACGUUUUCUGUAGAAAAUGUUUCCUGACUGCAAUGAGAGAAAGCGGAAUACAUUGUCCCCUCUGUCGUGGAAAUGUGACUAGAAGAGAAAGAGCAUGUCCUGAACGGGCCUUAGACCUUGAAAAUAUCAUGAGGAAGUUUUCUGGUAGCUGCAGAUGCUGUGCAAAACAGAUUAAAUUCUAUCGCAUGAGACAUCAUUACAAAUCCUGUAAGAAGUAUCAAGAUGAAUAUGGUGUUUCCUCUAUCAUUCCAAACUUUCAGAUCUCUCAAGAUUCAGUAGGGAACAGUAAUAGGAGUGAAACAUCCACAUCUGAUAACACAGAAACUUAUCAAGAGAGUGCAAGUUCUGGGCAUCCCACCUUUAAGUGUCCCUUGUGUCAAGAAUCAAAUUUUACCAGACAACGUUUACUGGAUCACUGUAACAGUAAUCACUUAUUUCAGAUAGUUCCUGUGUUUCCUGAUCUAGAGGAUGCAGACAACUGGAUCAGGUCCGGUGGAUCUGCUGCAGGUGAAAACACCUAUAAGAAAGAAUAAAGAUAACGUGUCCUAUUUGUGUGUCUCUUCCUUGGGGAGAUCCUAGCCAGAUUACUAGAAAUUUCGUUAGUCAUCUAAAUCAAAGACAUCAGUUUGAUUAUGGAGAAUUUGUGAAUCUUCAGCUAGAUGAGGAAACCCAAUAUCAAACUGCUGUUGAAGAAUCUUUUCAAGUAAACAUCUGAAGGCUGUAGACGUCUCUGCAUCUUUGUACCUGCAAGUGCCAUCUUUAAGGGGAAAACUACAUGAAGUCAUCGUUUCAACAACUUGAUGUGUAUAUUAAUAAAAAGUAAUUCAGUCUAUUGUUUAGUUUUUUAAUUGAAAAAUAAAGGUGGGCCAUCUAAAAAUUUCAUUCUCUUGAUAAGUUAAAAAGUGAAAGGACAUUAUCUUUAAAAGCAUUAAAAGAAUUAUAUUUCAUUAAUGUAUUGGUGAAAAGGGAAUCCCUGUUGUAUUUUAUCUUUUUAUAUUACAUAUUGAAUUUUUCCUUAUUUUUUGAAAUUUACUUUUGCAAUUUGGUGCAGUUCCUCCCGGUGACAUUAUUGUACACAGAUAACGCACAGCAGCAAAUUCUGAACGAUGUCAUUGAUAAAAGCCUAGCAAAUCUGAGCCAGUUAUCAGAACCACAGAAUGGAGACUUGAAGUGCUAAAUGAAACAAUCCAAAGGAGACUUUUAAUACAGAUUCUAGCUGAAGAAUUCAAUUAUGAGAAAAUUGUAUUUAUAUAACAUUUAGUAUUUUUGAAGACUAGUGAGGUUUCUUUAUAAUUUUAACUCUUUAAAAAAAGUGAAUGCUCAUUAUAAAGAUAUUUCCUUUUUGCUAUUAGAAGGAAAUAUCGAGAGAAAAAUUUAUUUCUUUGGUGGGCAGUUGGUAAUUUCAAACCUUGUUUGUUUGGCUGACUGAUUUAUAAGCCUAAAUUAUACAAAGCUGAAUUAUAGCUGUUUGGCCCCAGAAUUUUGAGUAGCCAGUAUUUCUGAUUAAGAUGAAACUUUUCCUAGAAACUUUCAGUUGGUAAUAUUAUAUUCUACAUAUAUAUUUAAAUGAGAGAUUUGGCUUCAUUUCAAUUUAGAAAUUCAAAGCUAAAGAUGUAUAUGGAUAUAUACAUACACUUUUGUAUGUGUAUGUAUACAUGCACAUAUGUGUGCACACUGUCAGAUUAUAUACAGAAUUUCUGAUAACUGAUUAAAAUUUUGUAUAUCACCAAAUUUUUAGAAAGUAGCAGUUGAAUGCUAAGUUGUCUACUUGGCUACUACACCUUAAAAAUUGAGUUUACAUACACUUGCAAUUACCUGUUUAUAUGGUGCUCAUGUGUUAUUCUCAAAGAUAAUGUGUGACUAUGGGGUAAUGGGAUGGCUUCCACCAGCCAUUCUGUUUUACUACUUUUUAGUCAAAACUGGAUUUGUUCUUGGUAUUCAUUAAUGAGAAUCAUAACAUAACUUGUACUGGAAGGCCCAAAUCACAGGAAAAGAUGAAGAGUGGAUUAGUUGACAUUCCGUACUAAUGUACAUUGUUUAUGCUUUCUUUAAAAUAACUAACUAAAAAAACAUAAAAGAAAAUCUCAGAAGUAGUUUGCUGCUAAUAUAUACGUAUAUUGUAUAAAAAGGUAUAUUUUGGUUUUGUUAAAACCCUUGUUGACUUUUUUACAGUGAACAUUUUUUAACUUGAUUUAAUAAAAAUGUUAAUUUUGAAAGUGGAGUUUUGUAAAAACCUUUUUCAGUCAAACAGUCAUGACUAUUUAUAGGUAGUAAUAACAAUCACCAAAAAAGCCAUACAUCUUAAUGAACAUAUGCCUUUGUUCUGUCAACAUUUUCUCUGCAGUUACAUGAGUGUAAUUGUAAGAAUAGCUGUUAACAAACUCUUUAAAAAGAGACUUGACCAUAGGUUUUUCCAGUUUAAAGCAAUAACUUUAGUACUCUCUUUCAAAGUUUAAUACUUCCAGUAUGUCAAGUUAAACCGUUCUGAGAUUUGAGAACUUCUUUAAAAGAACAUUGUAGUAGAGAUCAUCUUGAUGAAAUUGUGUUUUGAAGUUUUGUGGAUUAGUUAAAUAUCAUUAAUAAUAUUGUGUAUUUCAUAUAAACUUUUUCAUAAGGAAAAUAUUGACUUUGCUGUUAUCUGGGAACUCCUCAGUUUGGAGUUGUUUGUUUAAAAUCUCUCCUCUUGUCAGUGGAUUAGGAAUAGGGAUAGGCUUUACAACUUAACACUUUUAAAUUCAUGAAAAAGUUCUUAUUUUUAGUAUGCUUAUAACUGAGGUCAAGGGAGGGGAACUGUGUUGAUACUCCAAUACCUAAAUUUCACAAUACCACUUAUAGGAAAGCUAUUUCCAUUAACAAAUGAAAGUUAUGUUGUUAAACAGAGUCUUAUUUGAGAUGUAUUGCUUUAUUUUUCAAUUAAAAGUGGUUUUCUCCUA